AAACUUUUCAGCUAGAGUAUGAUAGAGGAAAGCAGAAUUUCUAGUGUAGAGGUGAAAUUCGUAGAUAUUAGAAAGAAUACCAAUUGCGAAGGCAGCUUUCUGGAUCAUUACUGACGCUGAGGAACGAAAGCAUGGGUAGCGAAGAGGAUUAGAUACCCUCGUAGUCCAUGCCGUAAACGAUGUGUGUUAGACGUUGGAAAUUUAUUUUCAGUGUCGCAGCGAAAGCGAUAAACACACCGCCUGGGGAGUACGACCGCAAGGUUAAAACUCAAAUGAAUUGACGGGGACCCGCACAAGUAGUGGAGCAUGUGGUUUAAUUCGAAGAUACGCGCAGAACCUUACCAACACUUGACAUGUUCGUCGCGACUUUAAGAGAUUAAAGUUUUCGGUUCGGCCGGACGAAACACAGGUGCUGCAUGGCUGUCGUCAGCUCGUGUCGUGAGAUGUUGGGUUAAGUCCCGCAACGAGCGCAACCCUCACUUUUAGUUGCCAUCAUUAAGUUGGGCACUCUGAAAGAACUGCCAGUGAUAAGCUGGAGGAAGGUGGGGAUGACGUCAAGUCCUCAUGGCCCUUACGUGUUGGGCUACACACGUGCUACAAUGGUAUCUACAACAGGAAGCAAGACGGCGACGUUAAGCAAAUCCUUAAAAGAUACCUCAGUUCGGAUUGCACUCUGCAACUCGAGUGCAUGAAGCUGGAAUUACUAGUAAUCGUGGAUCAGCGUGCCACGGUGAAUGCGUUCCCGGGUCUUGUACACACCGCCCGUCACACCAUGGGAGUUGGUUCUACCUUAAGGCAAGGUUUCAAACCCUUGACCACGGUAUAGUCAGCGACUGGGGUGAAGUCGUAACAAGGUAGCCGUAGGGGAACCUGCGGCUG
rnacentral:rRNA from 1 species